rnacentral:lncRNA from 1 species
GUCCUUCCUCAACCCCUUGGAUAAGAACCCCUGUCCUAGUGCCAGGGCCUCCUUAUGCAGAUCAUGCUCAUCAGGGGAGGAGAAUCCGAAAUGGAAAUUUGAAUGAUGUCACUCCUACAGGGAAUGCAAGAAAAGGAGAUAGGGCAAGGAGAUGGGGAAGGAAGGACCCCUUGGGAUGAAGUGUAUUCUGCUGCUGAGCAGAGAGGAGAAACGUGGAGAGAGGCUUGGGGGAAACCAGGAGGGGGUCAAGAAAUAACCCAAGGAAAGAAAUGGCAGAGUGGGUUUUCAUCACAGACCCUUUGAUGUCCUUUGAAAGACAGGAUUAAAAAUUGGAACUUGUGCCUCAUUGUUCCUGGAAACUGAUUGAAGGUUGGGUCACGCACGGGGAUCAGGAAUGUACUCAGAGGUUCCAUGCCUCUCUGAACCUCCUCUUGUCUUCUCAAAUGGUAGGAGCCAUUUUCGUCUUCCACCAUCAAUCCUGAUUUCCACUCCCUUGUGGAACUCCCCCUUCUGCAACUUACUUGUUGCAUAACUUGACAAUUAAUUGUUUUCCCUUCAGUAAUGGCUCUUGUCUUACAUUCUCUCUCUCUCUUUUUUAAGUUUGUUUUAAUUAGCUAUCUUUUUAUGGAUCUCCCUCUCUGGAAUGUCCCCACUGCCUGGCACGUUCCCCACAGUGAGCUAAUGAGUACCUUUAAUGAACUAGCAAUGGAUGCAUUUCAAAGUGCCCCCCUCCAUCUCUGACUGGGAUGCUUGUACAGAACACAUUGUCACCGUCCUCACAUAGACAUGUCCUGAGGGAGUCCUAGGUGCUAAAUGCCACACCACACUUAUCCUCAUAUACGUAUUCCUUCCUGGCAAAGCAAACCUGUGAGUCAGUUUGCUGAUCCCACAUCCGUGAUGGAGAAUGGCUAAUUAAUACACAGAGAUCUGGGAUUGAGCGUAGAGUUGACUCUCCAUUGUGGGUUUUGCAUCUGUUGAUCAAACAUGGAUUGUGAGGUGUAUGGACGUGUAGAUGCUCGUCAUUAUUUCCUAUAAAAUACAGCAUGACCACUACUCACAUAGCAUUUGCCUUGUAUUAGGAGUUAUAAAUAACCCAUAAAUGAUUUACAGUAUAUGCAAAGAUGUGUGUAGACCAUAUGCAAACGUCAUGCCAUUUUAUAGAAGGAAUUGAGCACCCAGAUUUUGAUAU